AGUGAACGCUGGCGGCAGGCCUAACACAUGCAAGUCGAACGAGUGGCGGACGGGUGAGGAAUACAUCGGAAUCUACUCUGUCGUGGGGGAUAACGUAGGGAAACUUACGCUAAUACCGCAUACGAUUGAAUGAGCCGAUGUCGGAUUAGCUAGUGGUCGGGGUAAAGGCCCACCAGGGCGACGAUCCGUAGCUGGUCUGAGAGGAUGAUUACCAACCCUGGACCUGGGACACGGUCCAGCCUCCUACGGAAGGCAGCAGUGGGGAAUAUUGGAAAUUGAGCGAAGGCCUAAUCCAGCCAUACCGCGUGGGUGAGAAAGGCCUUCGGGUUGUAAAGUCCUUUUUUUGGGAAAGCGGUACCCAAAGAAUAAGCACCGGCUAACUUCGUGCCAGCAGCCGCGGUAAUAC
rnacentral:rRNA from 1 species